rnacentral:rRNA from 1 species
GAUGAACGCUGGCGGCGUGCCUAACACAUGCAAGUCGAACGGACUUCAUAUUGAAUGAGACUUCGGUUGAAGGAUAUUUGAAGUUAGUGGCGGACGGGUGAGUAACGCGUGGAGAACCUGCCCUGUACAGGGGGAUAACAAUCAGAAAUGAUUGCUAAAACCGCAUAAGCGCACAGUACCGCAUGGUACAGUGUGAAAAACUCCGGUGGUACAGGAUGGCUCCGCGUUGGAUUAGCCGGUUGGCGGGGUAACGGCCCACCAAAGCAACGAUCCAUAGCCGGCCUGAGAGGGUGAACGGCCACAUUGGGACUGAGACACGGCCCAGACUCC